rnacentral:rRNA from 1 species
GUGCCAGCAGCCGCGGUAAUACCGGCAGCCCGAGUGAUGGCCGAUCUUAUUGGGCCUAAAGCGUCCGUAGCUGGCUGCGCAAGUCCGUCGGGAAAUCCACUCGCCCAACGAGUGGGCGUCCGACGGAAACUGCACAGCUUGGGACCGGAAGGCUCGAAGGGUACGUUCGGGGUAGGAGUGAAAUCCCAUAAUCCCGCACGGACCACCGAUGGCGAAAGCGCCUCGGGAAGACGGACCCGACAGUGAGGGACGAAAGCUGGGAUCUCGAACCGGAUUAGAAACCCUGGUAGUCC